GUGAUCUUGCAAAGCAGCUGGUUCCAGGUCCUUGGAUUGAAAAAACAGGCAAAGACAUCGAGGGGCUUCCGAGACAGACACAUGCAAAUGACUGUGGCAUUUUUAUGAUAAUGGUAAGCUUUCAAACAUGGAACUUUCCAAUUAGCUGAACAUAUUUUCAGUACCUGAACCUGUUUAAUGUUUCUGACACAGUACGCCUGGUACCUCAUUCUUGGUGAUCCAUUUGACUUCACUGUUGUAAGUUGAACCGAUAAUUUGAUCGUUACAGUUCCUGUAAGUUUGACAAACUAGUGUGGAUAUUUAAAGUAACAGCAACAUACAUGUACAUGAAGUUAAUCAUUGUGGAUUUGUGGAAUGUGCUCUUCCUAUAAGGACGACACGCCAGUUCUGAGGAGAUGGUGGUGUUCCGUUACUAUGGAAAACCUAAUCCUGGAAGGGCAUGGGAGGAGGUUUGCCCAUUUCACUAAAGAGGGAAAGGACAUGAUUUCUGGCCGUCUUUCACCUGUUUUCUGACUGAAGCAGAAAAGAACAGAUGAUGAAGACACAGACGUAAGAAUAUGUGACAACAACACAAUGAAUGACAUAAUAUGGCGACUUUACAUGUAUGUGUAAUUAAGACCUUCUUCAAAGGACAGUGUUGUCACCAAUAACCCUAACAGGCAGCCUUGGUUUAAGGCCCCCUGAAUGGUCUCACUAGGAAGCACACCAUAGUAUUUGUCAUGUUUGUCCUUUGUUACAUUUUAUUAAGUUUGAACCACCGGUCAUAAGCCUGACACACAAUAAUAAACAGUUACACUAAUAUUAUAAAUCGUACAUCGGCAUUGCCGAUCAGAAACCAAGGGCUAUCUAGAAAUAAUAUCAGAACUAACUGAGAUCUAGACUGUAUUAAAAAAAAUCCCCACAGUUGAACAGAGAUGCAUAUUAUAAUAGAUGAUAUUUGAAGACAUAUUAAGUGUUUUCUUUUUUCAAAUUUCACUUAUUGUCACCAUGAACUUGUGAAACUCUUGCUGCUUGCGUCAGCAGCAUCCUUUACAAACUGACAAAAAAGGGACAUUUGGAAGACCACCGACUAUAUCAAUAAAGAUUUAGUAUAGUUUUGAUAUGUUUAUCUUGGAAUGUUCCAUCUAUUUAGAAUCAUGACUGGGAAGACAAUGAGGGGCUGAAGGUUGGUGAAAAAGUUUGCUUGUUUAUUUGUCUUUUGGUUGAUAGAUUCCAUUUUUUAAAUUAGAAUGUUGACAGGAGCAUGUGCCACUGGAUGCAAUGAGCUCUUAAUCAGCUUUGUUUCUCAGCAGAGCAACACAUAUUAAAAAGG